rnacentral:rRNA from 1 species
CUACGGGGCGCUCCAGUGGGGAAUAUUGGACAAUGGGGGAACCCUGAUCCAGCAAUGCCGCGUGUGUGAAGAAGGCCUGCGGGUUGUAAAGCACUUUCGGUUGGGAGGACUGCUUCUAGCACUAAUAUUGUUGGAAGUUGACGUUACCUUCAGAAGAAGCACCGGCAACUCCGUGCCAGCAGCCGCGGUAAUACGGAGGGUGCAAGCGUUAAUCGGAAUUACUGGGCGUAAAGCGCGCGUAGGCGGCUAGAUCAGUCGGGUGUGAAAGCCCCGGGCUUAACCUGGGAACUGCAUCCGAUACUGUCUAGCUUGAGUACAGGAGAGGAGAGUGGAAUUCCACAUGUAGCGGUGAAAUGCGUAGAUAUGUGGAGGAACACCAAUGGCGAAGGCAGCUCUCUGGCCUGAUACUGACGCUGAGGUGCGAAAGCGUGAGGAGCAAACAGGAUUAGAUACCCCCGUAGUC